CCUACGGGAGGCAGCAGUGAGGAAUAUUGGUCAAUGGCCGAGAGGCUGAACCAGCCAAGUCGCGUGAGGGAAGACGGCCCUACGGGUUGUAAACCUCUUUUGUCGGGGAGCAAAGCGAACCACGUGUGGUUCAUUGAGAGUACCCGAAGAAAAAGCAUCGGCUAACUCCGUGCCAGCAGCCGCGGUAAUACGGAGGAUGCGAGCGGUAUCCGGAUUUAUUGGGUUUAAAGGGUGCGCAGGCGGAGGUGCAAGUCAGCGGUCAAAUUGCGGGGCACAACCCGUACUGCCGUUGAAACUGCAUCCCUUGAGUGCGCGAGAAGUAUGCGGAAUGCGAGGUGUAGCGGUGAAAUGCAUAGAUAUAACGCAGAACUCCGAUUGCGAAGGCAGCAUACCGGCGCGCAACUGACGCUCAUGCACGAAAGCGUGGGUAUCGAACAGGAUUAGAUACCCCGGUAGUC
rnacentral:rRNA from 1 species